CCUACGGGGGGCAGCAGUGGGGAAUAUUGGACGAUGGGGGCAACCCUGAUCCAGCCAUGCCGCGUGUGUGAAGAAGGCCCUCGGGUUGUAAAGCACUUUCAGUGAGGAAGAACGCCUGGUGGUUAAUACCCAUCAGGAAAGACAUCACUCACAGAAGAAGCACCGGCUAACUCCGUGCCAGCAGCCGCGGUAAUACGGAGGGUGCGAGCGUUAAUCGGAAUUACUGGGCGUAAAGCGCGCGUAGGUGGCUUGAUAAGCCGGUUGUGAAAGCCCCGGGCUCAACCUGGGAACGGCAUCCGGAACUGGCAAGCUAGAGUGCAGGAGAAGAAGGUAGAAUUCCCGGUGUUGCGGUGAAAUGCGUAGAGGUCGGGAGGAAUACCAGGGGCGAAGGCGGCCUUCUGGACUGACACUGACACUGAGGUGCGAACGCGUGGGUAGCAAACAGGAUUAGAUACCCUAGUAGUC
rnacentral:rRNA from 1 species